rnacentral:lncRNA from 1 species
UGCACAUAGAGAAUAGAAAAAUCUUCUUCUAAGGCUCUCCCCGCCAGCCAGUCAGCCACUUCGUUCCCCUCCCUUCUAAUAUGAGAAAUGUUAAUUGCUUGCAAGCUUGAUAUCCAGGCGUUCAAAUCUUUCAAAAUAGGAUCAGCACCAUACCUGCAGGGAGUUUUACAUUGACGCCACUUAAUAAGAGUACUUGAGUCUCUCUUCAGCUGUAUUUGGGUAGCAUUGCAGGAGAAGAGAGCAUGAUGCAUUCCCAACCAAGCACCCUGUAAUUCUGCAGCAGUAACAGAAUAAGAAGAAGGUAAUUAUUUACCAGCAGC